UACGUAGGGUGCAAGCGUUAAUCGGAAUUACUGGGCGUAAAGCGUGCGCAGGCGGUGAUGUAAGACGGGUGUGAAAUCCCCGGGCUUAACCUGGGAACUGCAUUUGUGACUGCAUCGCUGGAGUGCGGCAGAGGGGGAUGGAAUUCCGCGUGUAGCAGUGAAAUGCGUAGAUAUGCGGAGGAACACCGAUGGCGAAGGCAAUCCCCUGGGCCUGCACUGACGCUCAUGCACGAAAGCGUGGGGAGCAAACAGG
rnacentral:rRNA from 1 species